GUGCCAGCAGCCGCGGUAAUACGUAGGUGGCAAGCGUUGUCCGGAUUUAUUGGGCGUAAAGCGAGCGCAGGCGGUUUCUUAAGUCUGAUGUGAAAGCCUUCGGCUCAACCGAAGAAGUGCAUCGGAAACUGGGAAACUUGAGUGCAGAAGAGGACAGUGGAACUCCAUGUGUAGCGGUGAAAUGCGUAGAUAUAUGGAAGAACACCAGUGGCGAAGGCGGCUGUCUGGUCUGUAACUGACGCUGAGGCUCGAAAGCAUGGGUAGCAAACAGGAUUAGAUACCCUGGUAGUCCAUGCCGUAAACGAUGAGUGCUAGGUGUUGGAGGGUUUCCGCCCUUCAGUGCCGCAGCUAACGCAUUAAGCACUCCGCCUGGGGAGUACGACCGCAAGGUUGAAACUCAAAGGAAUUGACGGGGGCCCGCACAAGCGGUGGAGCAUGUGGUUUAAUUCGAAGCAACGCGAAGAACCUUACCAGGUCUUGACAUCCUUUGACCACUCUAGAGAUAGAGCUUUCCCUUCGGGGACAAAGUGACAGGUGGUGCAUGGUUGUCGUCAGCUCGUGUCGUGAGAUGUUGGGUUAAGUCCCGCAACGAGCGCAACCCUUAUUACUAGUUGCCAGCAUUAGGUUGGGCACUCUAGUGAGACUGCCGGUGACAAACCGGAGGAAGGUGGGGACGACGUCAAAUCAUCAUGCCCCUUAUGACCUGGGCUACACACGUGCUACAAUGGAUGGUACAACGAGUUGCGAGACCGCGAGGUUUAGCUAAUCUCUUAAAACCAUUCUCAGUUCGGAUUGUAGGCUGCAACUCGCCUACAUGAAGCCGGAAUCGCUAGUAAUCGCGGAUCAGCAUGCCGCGGUGAAUACGUUCCCGGGCCUUGUACACACCGCCC
rnacentral:rRNA from 1 species